AGUGAAGUGCCUGAGAAAAGGGUAAUUUUGAUAGAAUUAGUCACGCAGGCCUACUGCCUUCGCUU
rnacentral:tRNA from 1 species